UACAGAGAGUGCAAACGUUUGUUCGGAAUUACUGGGCUUAAAGCGCACGUAGGCGGCGUCGUAAGUGUCGGGUGAAAUCCCACGGCUCACCCGUGGAACUGCCCGGCAUACUGCGACGCUAGAGUGUGGUAGGGAAGAGCGGAACUCCUGGUGGAGCGGUGAAAUGCGUUGAUAUCAUCAGGAACACCGGUGGCGAAAGCGGCUUACUGGGUCUCUUCUGACGCUGAGGAACGAAAGCUAGGGUAGCGAACGGG
rnacentral:rRNA from 1 species